rnacentral:lncRNA from 1 species
CCGCGUGAGAUGCCGUAGGCAGCCAGCCGGGGCGGCGAGGACCGCAGCGGCGGCAACAGCGGCCAAGUCUGCCUGUCAUUUCUGCCUUCAGACCUCGGGCGAGUCAGGAAAAAAUAAAAAACAGCUGGCCGGCGGGAGCGAGCUACCAGUCUUAAUCUCGGGACUUUAGCAAAGACGUGUGUGCGUUCGUUCGUCCUUGUUUAUGGAGCUGUUUCGGUGAAUGCUGGACAGAAACUAAAUAAUUAAAAGGUUUGGAGAACGCCCGGAGCAGGAGAGGCUGGCAGCUUGAAUGGCCCUAGAGAGAAGUGGUCAGAGUGGAAGGAAAAAUCGAUGCUCCUUUACUGGGCCGCCCUAAUAAACCGGGAGUAAAUGGGCUCAGGAGAAACAUGGGGGCGUGUGUUUAAUUUAGGGAUCUUCUAAACACAACCCUGAUUCCUAGCAAACGUCAGGUUUAAGAAGACCGAGACUCAAGAGAAGCUCCAAAUCCAGGAUCGAGAGGACCCACGUCUCCUCUACUUCUUCCAAAUAAAUUUUACUGAUCUUUCUACAAGGAUUGCGUAUUAAAACAACACAUCCCCUCCACGCCAAGUCAAGGCUGAAUCUUGAGGGUUUUGCUUCACCUCGUGAAAGGACUCCUCCAGAACGUACUUUUAGGGACAGUCUUUUCUAUCUCGAAUUUUUGUAUUUGUAGGGAAUUUUAUGGAGUAGAGAAGCGAAGAGGGAAUAAAGUCUUCAAAUAAAACCCCCUAUCAAGCUCUUCGUACCAUCGGUGGGAAAGCCUGCGAGAGAACCCACAAUCUGUCCUCGCACGCGUCGUCCUGGGGUGAGCAGAGGUGGAAGUCUCCUUCCCCGCCUGACCCCUGCUCGCCCCGGCCGCCUUUUCGGGCGGCGGCUGCAGGAGCCUAAGCGCCGCUAGGGGAUGCAGUGGCUCAAAGGACUAAGGGAGGCCGAGGAGCUUGGAGCCCGCGGGGCCGGCCAAUCGCGGCCCGGCCGCAGCCUC